rnacentral:misc_RNA from 1 species
CAUUUUGCGGGACCCAGCAGCGGAAGGAAGCUGGCGCGGAGCCAGAGGAUUCCCAUCCUCUUUACCCACCAUUCCCUCUCCACUUCAAACAGUUUAAAAAAGGUAAGAUUUGAGCCAAACCCAAAAAUCGUUAAACCUUCCUUAACGUCCCUUUUUCCAAAUUUGUGUAAUUGGAUUGGCGAGUGACCGUUAACAGUUUAACUAGAAAACGAGAAACGAAGGUCCAUAGCAGAUCAUGCAGUUUCCUACCCAACAGAGCGUCAAGAGUAAGAUAUGAAGGCAAAUCCAGGAAGAGAGGAAGAAGGAGCCGCUGCUAUGAGAGCUGAUGAAGAGUUAACAGGGCAGAGAGCGACAGAGCGAGAGAGCGAGAGGAAAAGGUUAGGGGCAGUAGCAGUCUUUUUCAGUUGCGACUUGCUUUUGUUUAUUGGUGCGCUAAUAUG